GGAAAUUUAAAUUAUUUUUGUGUAUUUUACUCGAUUAAAUUAAUUAUUAUACAGAUAAGUUUCUGUUUUAGAAAAAAUAAUACUAUUUAAAGAAACCGUCUACACGAUAUUUUUAGUUUACAAUGAUUUAUCUACUAAAAUUUUCAUCGUACAAACUUAUAAUUCAUCAAUAUAGUGAACGAGUAAGUUAGUGCUUAUCAACUUAGUAGUUUUGUUACAUAAUUAUAUUUCAAAAAGACAGCUAGAUUUUUAAUGCGGUUAGAUAUAUUGGAAACAUCAAGUAUAAAGAGCGAGAUGUAUUAAUGAAAUUCAUAUCAUGAAAAAUUAUAUUAUAUUAGAUAUAUAUUAUACAUUCUUAAAAAGUAAUUACAGGCAUGAAAAUAGCUUACUAUAGGCUACCUCGACUUAAAAGUGAUAAUACAUGCAAAUAAAAGGUAUAAAUCCUCAACAAGAAUCGAAAAAAAAAUACAAAAAAAUAUUUUCGUUUAUAUGUUUACAUUUAUUUUAAGUGCGAACUUUUUAAUUUUCUUUAGAAACACAAUUUUUUUUUGUAAGCAGACAUUAUUGUAAUACAAUUCACUCCUAGGCGUAAAUUGUUACAAUCAGUGCAUUUAAUGUAGUUAUUACACUCAGAAAAAGUUACUGUAACAGUGACAGAAAUAAUAUUAUUAUAAUACCUAUUGAAAUUGAUCAAGAAAAUCAAUAAUGAUUUUUUCUUAAUAGUGACAAAAUGUGAUGUAGCUUUUUAAGUGUUAUGUUUUAAAAACAAGUGCUUCGUUGUGGAUCGAAAUAAUUCAGCGCAAAGAUGUAAUAGCACUUUAAAAAACCUUUUGAUUUUCUACAUAAGCCUACGGUGACAAACGAGCCACCAAUGAAAUGUCGCUCACACUAAUCAUGAGUAAUCGUGAGCACCGGUCACUUUAGUUUUGGCGGAAUAAUUAAUGAUUCGGAUACGAUUUCCAACAUCCUUUACUGAAAAUUAAAACUGAAAGAAUCUCUUGCAUCGAAGCUUACAUUGAAUCCACGUUUGCUUCUGUUUUUGAAAGAAAGGGCCUGACGGAAGCAGACUGGUUAGAAGAGUUUAUCAUAAACUGUGACGUAACUAACAACGCCAAUUCCGCAAUAAUGUUGAGUUAAAUGUAAAUAUUUUGAUCAUUAAGAUGUGUUUGUGUGUUAUCAGCGCAUUCCGUUUUGCGAUUUAUUUGCUGACAUUUCUUGUGUAAAUUCAUUGUUACAAGCUGAUAGUUACAAUGUGUAGUCUUGCUGUUUUAUCUACGUCUUAUACUAUAAAUGUGUGGCAUUUAUUUUGUUCUGUUUGAAACGGUAAAACUUUGAGUUAAGCUUAUGAAAAUAAAACGUGUAAUAUUAUGAAUAAUGAAGUAUUAGAAGCUCGCACAGUCUUUUGUAUUUUAGUUUUUAGAUUUAUACAAGAUUUACAUAGGAAGUAUAAAUAAAUCGAGUUAUACAGACA